UAGUUUGUGGGUAAUAGAUGCCUUGGAGAGUUGCACUCUAGUGUAGGGUGAUGCACUUGAUAGGGUCUGGAAAAUACAAUAGAAAGCAUCCAGAAUUUGUCAAGGAAAUAAGGCUUAACACUUUUUUAUACUGGUUGGAGACUAAUGAAUAAGGCUUGAUUGAGUAGUCUGUUUCACAGUAUUGUUGAAUUCAUGUAGGAGAUCAGGAUAGUAACACCUCUUGAUUAGUUGACAAUAAAACUUGUAACUUUUUUACUUUGGUUAUUAAUCAAAUUUAACAAUCAGUUUACCAUUUAAAAUCUUUAAAAUAAACCCCUUUUUUUUUAUUUCUCCAUCUUUUCAAAAUUGCUGAAUAUAGUGAUCAAAUGUCUGAACUUUAUAUUCAUUUUUGUUGGACUCUGUAUUACAGUGCCCAAAUGGACACACUUUA
rnacentral:misc_RNA from 1 species